GUCGGGGGGAGGGGAAGUGGGAGGCAGCCAGGACACCCCUCCGCGCGUCCGGGGGCGCCCAGCCAGAGAGGAAGCGAGGGGAAGAACAGGGGCGCACAGAGGCCCCACAUUGCCGACCCCCGAGACACCCCCCCGCUCCUUCUUGAAUUUAUAGAAAAGUAGAGUGCGAUGAAGCAGGCACAUCCAUUCACUGAGAGAAGAAACCCCACGUUCUCAGCUAAGAGUUUAGGGCUUGUGCAUUUAUAGACCAUUGAGUUAGGUCGGCUCCUGGUGAUUUUUCUUCCCCUUCACAAUCUGGCUCCACCACUGCACUUCGUUUCAGGAAAGAGCCUGACAGGUCUUGGAUCUCAGCAAAUCAGAAGGAUGCCUCGUCAUCAAAAGAGGAGGCUCACGGGCCUUGUGGAGGAAGCCGCAACCCCAGGGGGUCUGCUCAGUUGAGAGAGAAGUUACAGUUUUUCUAACUUCAACCUGGAACCUCCUUGUGUCAGUAAAACCUUUAAAAAAAAAAAAAGACUACCUUUUGUGAUAUAGGAAAAGUUACUUCUCUGAGAUUCAGGUUUUCUAUCUGGUGAACACUUCUUACUUGCAAAGCUUGGAAUAGCUAUUAAAAUUUCUUAUGAUCUCUGAAUUCUAAAAGAAAGACUUCCAAGUUAUGAUUGAAAAUAGGCCUUGUGCCCAGAGUAGACAGAUUCCCUAAUAAAGAUGGAAGCGUCAACUCUGAAGCAAGGAUACUUGGUAAAAUGAUUUUAAAACUGACAAGAAAAAGCAGCUCGAAGUGGCCCAGCAAGUUCAGAGAAAGUCCGCGCUGGCGGGACGCACGGAGGCGGUGUGAUGAGCUGUGCGCUGCUGACACCACGCUGAGUGAACAGAGGAAGGCUCUUGGAGGAGGUUCAAGGGGCCAGCAUUGUCUUCCCCGAUGGCUCAACCAAGAAAGAAUCUGCCUGCAGUUCAGGAGACACAGAAGACGCAGGUUCGACCUCUGUGUCAGGAGGAUCCCCUGGAGGAGGAAAUGGCAAGCCACUCCAGUAUUCUUGCCUGGAGAUUUCCAUGGACAGAGGAACUUUGUGGGCUACAGCCCCUGGAGUUGCAAAGAGUCAGACACAACUGAGCAGGCAGGCAGAACUACAACUUGGUUGCUCUCUCUGAGAGGCCAGCAAGAGCUACCUUAUUAGCACAGAAUAAAGUAGCAGACCAAGGGGUCCCUCUGAAUGAC
rnacentral:lncRNA from 1 species